CUCUGCUGCCCUCCCACAUUCCUCUCUAUUCUUCCCCUCUCGAGUGGAGAAGAGGCAUCAAGUGCUCUGUGUGAGAUGAGUGCAUUAAAGCAUCCUCCAGCCCAGCUACUGCAGCCCUGACAGCCGAGGGAAUUUGUCAGCAGAGCUCUCUGCGCAGCAUUUCACCGUAACUCCCUGUGCAAGCCCUCCCUGUGCCGUGGGGUUGGGAGAUUCUCUCAGCACUGUGUUCCUGUUCCUCCCCGCUGGCAGCUCAUUCCCAUCCCCACAGGAUGGAUCAGGAGCUCCUGGCAUCCUCUGUGGGAAUGCUUUGGGCUGGAUGGGACCUUCAAGAGCAUCUCAUGCCAACCUUCCCAGCGUGGGACACCUUCCUCUGGACCAGGCUGCUCCGAGGUGACACGGGCAGCGCUGCGUGCAGGGGCUGGCUCCCAAAGGAGCGUUUUGGCUGCUGCCUGUCCUUGUCAGCCGGGAUGGGGAAACCUGAGCCCACGGACGGCUCGCAGGAGCAGAAGUAACAAGCCAACAAAUCAGGGCGCUGCCAUCUCCUCCGCCCCUCUCUGUCCGGUUCAAAAACAGCCGAUGGGGGAGGCUCCCAGAACUGCUGAAUGGCUCGAUAACCAGGAGCCAAAAAACAUUCAAAACCGCACGUCUGAAUGAAUUCAUCCCAAAGCAUCCGCAGACAGAGGAGGGGAGGGGGGUGGUGGUGAAGGAGGAGGUGGAGGAAAAGAAACAGAAGAAGGAGAAACGACUUGGCUCCUUCUCAAGCCCUUUCUAAAAAUGCUGAAAGAGUUUGGCAAUACUAAUAAAAACCCAGCGCAGCA